GUGGGGAAUCUUAGACAAUGGGCGCAAGCCUGAUCUAGCCAUGCCGCGUGAUCGAUGAAGGCCUUAGGGUUGUAAAGAUCUUUCGCUGGGGAAGAUAAUGACUGUACCCAGUAAAGAAGCCCCGGCUAACUCCGUGCCAGCAGCCGCGGUAAUACGGAGGGGGCUAGCGUUAUUCGGAAUUACUGGGCGUAAAGCGCACGUAGGCGGACUGGAAAGUUGGGGGUGAAAUCCCGGGGCUCAACCUCGGAACUGCCUUCAAAACUCCCAGUCUUGAGUUCGAGAGAGGUGAGUGGAAUUCCGAGUGUAGAGGUGAAAUUCGUAGAUAUUCGGAGGAACACCAGUGGCGAAGGCGGCUCACUGGCUCGAUACUGACGCUGAGGUGCGAAAGCGUGGGGAGCAAACAGGAUUAGAAACCCCGGUAGUCC
rnacentral:rRNA from 1 species